rnacentral:lncRNA from 1 species
CUGGCUUUGCUUCUGUGGAAUUGUCUUCUUCUCUAAUUACCAAAACUGUUGGUCAGCUGCUAUUAAAUGGUCAAUAAUAUCGUCCGGCUGGAUGAGACAUCUCUCACCUAUGAUGACUCAUUUGUGAGAUACUCCUGAGAACCUGAGUGAACAGAGCUAGAUGCUUUGAUCUUGGAUGUGGACUCCAAGUAUACUGAUUAAGAAUGCAAAUAAGGGACACAUUAGAGAAGCAAGUUGUAAGAAAAUCAUGCUUAUUUGCAAGUUAAGAUAUGUUCAGGUUAAACCACACACUGGGAUAUCUUAGGGCGAUUUGCGUUUUAAAUGUACUUUUAGGCUACCUACAUGUUUGGUUCUGCAUAUAAAUGAAGAUCUCAGCACAAAAAAAUAAAUAAAGAAUACACUAUUUGUCACUAUCUAAGCAGGUGACCAAGAAUUUCAAAGGAAUUAACCGUAUGACAGUAAAUUAAAUAGUCACCAUCUUAAAUAGCAUAAGAACAACAUACACACCAAGAAGAAACUACACGGCAUAACUCAAUAGCUAUUUAAAAGAAGUAUUCCAUAUAAUAUAUAAAACUUGCUUCUUAUUCCUUCUAUUACCUAGCGACACACAAAGAGAACUCAUUAUUUAGCUUAAAAUCAUUACUAUUCCAUUUUGUGGAAAUUCAAAAAAGAAAAAUAAUUUUAGCAGAACUAAAAGUUACUUUAAAUCAUUAGUUACCACUAUUAAUGAUAUGAAAUUCCCUCAUUUGAAAUUGAAACACUAACAUACAUGUUGUGUGCUGCUCUUUGUUCAAGCAUGGGUAAGGAACAAAGUCUUACUUGGAUUCUGCAGAAGCUACCUUAUAUCCUUCCACUUCCUCUCAUUUCUUCACUACCAGAAAAAUGAGCCCGUCAACAUUACAGGAUAAAGAAAAAUAUGUACAUCCGUGAAGCAAGCUCAUGUAAAAUUAGGUAGCAAGGCAUGUGAACAAAAGAUAGAUUAACCUAUUUUUCUGCAAGCCUCAACAAAAGGAUUGAACAGAAAAAUUUGCUUCUUGGAUCAGAACAUACACACAAUCGGUGAUCAAUGGAUUCCAAACUGGUAAAAUAGAAAACAAUAUGGAAGUUCUUAAUUCAGUGAAUUUUUAUAUUUUUACAUUUUAAUACUUGACAAUUCAGGAGGUAAAAACAAUAGCAGGAUGUUCCUUGAAACAAUAAGAAUAAACAUGACUUGAUUUGAAGAUGAAUCUCGUUUUCUACACAACUUAUGGGAUAACUCAUAGCUUCAUUUUGGUUUCAAGUUUAGCAGUGCUAAUUGUCGCUAGCGCACUAAAAUUAGGCUAGAGAUACCACAAUAUCAGCAAGCAGCAAGGAUCAACAAAAGGUAGCUCACCCAGGUUGCCACCAUGUUGAAGCUCUCUGUAGUUAACCGAUUCAUCCCCUUGAGCCCAGUGGAGAACUUCUGCCAUGUUACUUCCGUUUCCAAUUCCUGAAUCUUGCAUGUAUAGACCUUAUAAGGUCCACAUUCUCCUUGGAAAAAAAUAUAACA